AUUGAACGCUGGCGGCAGGCCUAACACAUGCAAGUCGAGCGAGCGGCGGACGGGUGAGUAAUGUAUGGGGACUGCCCGAUAGAGGGGGAUAACUACUGGAAACGGUGGCUAAUACCGCAUACUAUCGGAUAACCCAUAUGGGAUUAGCUAGUAGGUGGGGUAAAGGCUCACCUAGGCGACGAUCUCUAGCUGGUCUGAGAGGAUGAUCAGCUACACGGGGAGUGAGACACGGCCGAGAAUCCUAGGGAGGCAGCAGUGGGGAAUAUUGCACAAUGGGGGAAAGCCGGAUGCGGCCAUGCCGCGGGUAUGAAGAAGGCCUUAGGGUUGUAAAGUACUGUCAGCGGGGAGGCGUUACCCGAAGAAUAAGCACCGGCUAACUCCGUGCCAGCAGCCGCGGUAAUAC
rnacentral:rRNA from 1 species